ensembl:processed_transcript
ACUCCACGCCGCCCACGCUGCCCCCGGGUGGUCGCCGUACACUCUCUGUCUCAAGGUAGGCCGGCUCCGGACUCGCCAGGAGCUGAUUCUGAUCCAUCUGGUUUUGCAGUGUCUCUGUUUAGGUCCAACCCCCGGAAACACACACCCGCAGCCCGACCACGCCACGAUUGAAGCCCCGGGUCAAAGUGGCUCCGGUGACCGCACUCGCUUCUCGCAACGCCGCCGCCCUGCAGCGUGGGGAACCCCAUUCUGCCCAGAGCGGCCUGUGGCGUGGUGAGUGCAGGCUUUUCUCCACAACUUGGUUCUUUUCAGAUUCAUCAAAGAUUGCGCAACAAACCUUGAUCUUUGGCAAAGGCGUUCUGGUCUCAGUAAAUGCUGAAGUCCUAAAACCUUGGGAGGAAAUGGGUGCGUCGGAGCCUGAAACCAGAGCGAACACGCCACGUGCUCCCGGAUCUUCAGAGCCACUGGCUGCAGAUCUGGUACUGUGGGCUGCUCAGGGCCCUGGUGUUCCUCCCAGGCAGGACCUUGGCUUCUGAUCUGAGUGAGGGGCGUGCUUCCUCUGCUGCUCAGAAUUGAAAACCGGCUGACCCCAAAGAUCACUCCAGCUCUCUGAAGCUAACAUCAGACCACCGCUCCCUAUAAAUAGUAAUAUAGACACUACCUAUAGAAUAAACGCGAUAGGGGUUCCUUUGCCGAAGACACGAUGGGGUAAAGAGGAUGCGGUUACCACUUUAAGACCAUGAUUUAGUAAAGGACCUGUCUGUCCAUGAGAAACCCAUUGCUGGGUCCGGCAAUCUCCUGGAUUUCCAGGUUACCAGCCAAGUUCCUGCAACUUAGGUAAAAACCCUACAGUUGGGGGGAGGGGGCGUUCCUUGGUUCAUCAGGUAAGUUUAUAUACAUCCUGCUGCCACACUUUCAAACCAAGAACAAAGUACACCUCCUCCCCAGAGACCCCCAACCAGUAUCCCUAAGCAGCCUGGAGUGGCCUCUGAAGGUUCUAACCCUGUGUUGUCACCCUCCUCCCCAACCUGGCUCCUCACUAAAGGACUCCCAGGACCCCAAAAGACGUCAUUCUACUGAGGGUUCAGACUGCUUCUUAGAAGCAGAAGUGAGGGGUUUGGAGGGACACAGUACCAAUGUCCAAGGAGGCUACCCUCAGCCACUAAAAAAAGAAGAAAAAAAUCACUCCAGGAUUGUCAAGUGUUCUCUCUGUGUAGCUUGGAAUGCUCAUCCCUUCAUGAUGGUGUGCCAGGAUGCAUAAAUGGUGCCACGUGAUGAGAAAGAAGUGGCUUUGAAAGAAGCAGCCAUCAGAAGAGACCAAGAAGGACUCUGGGGGGAGAGCACAUACUCCUUCUAACACCACCUUUCCCUCUUUCCCUGGUGUGUGUGUGUGUGUGUGUGUGUGUGUGUGUGUGUGUGUGUGUGUGUGUGUGCGUGUGCACUUGCCUGUGGUACCUUGUGAAUACCAGAGGCUGAGAGGCUGAUUUCAGGAUAUCCUCUUUAAUCCUCUCUCAAACCUUUUUGUUGUUAUUUUGUUUGUUUGUUUGUUUGUGGGUGGUUUGGUUUGGUUUGGUUUUUCAAGACGGUGUUUUUCUGUGUAGCCCUGGCUGUCCUGGACACUCAAAGAUCUGCCUGUCUCUGCCCCCCCAAGUGCUGGGAUUAAAGGAUUUAAAUCUCUU